GCUUUUAGCUCAGUGGUCGAACGUUGGCUUUGGAAGCCACAGGUCGGUCGUUCAAAUCCACCCGGGCAGCC
rnacentral:tRNA from 1 species